ensembl:lncRNA
CAGACAACCAUCACAGCUGAGUCUGGACAGAACGUCACUCUGACAUGUCGAGCUCCAUCAGGCAAAACCAUCAGAGCUGUGAAGUGGAGCAGAAAUGACCUGGGAGAUAAAUAUGUGCUUUUGUACAGAGAUGAGCAGCUGGAUCCAACCAACCAGCAUCCAUCUUUUAAGAACCGGGUGGAUCUGCAGGACAGACAGAUGAAGGAUGGAGACGUGUCUUUGAUUCUGAAGAAUGUGAUGAUUAAUGAUGGUGGAUCAUACAAGUGUGGUGUCCUUGUGGGAGAAUCAGCAUCAUGGGAGAUCAUGGGGACUGUCAACAUGAGUGUGGCUCCUCCAGGUCACACAGAGGAUGGAUCUAAAGGACAGAUGAAUUAUCUGUCGGGUUCUGUUUGAACAAGAUCACCAACAGCACCGACUGAAAUGAAG